rnacentral:lncRNA from 1 species
UUGACCAAUUUUAGUCAUUGUAAUAUUACAAAUUAAUAACUACAAAAAAAUACAAAUUCAUUUUAAGCUUGCUUUUGGAGAUGGAAAACAUUAUAUAUUCGAAAAGACAUGUUAAAAUACAAAGGAAGUUAAAUCGUGCAUAUUUAACACUAGUACACAUCCUUUGAAAAAUAUAAGCCGCGAUCUCUUAUAAUAACAAAAGUUAAUUUGCCCUUGGAUAAAAUUCAAAUUUAUCACACGAUUUGUAAAAUAUGAGUCGCCUAAUUCUGACCAAAUCGGCGACGUUUUUUUGAUCUUUGAUCACGAAAGCACGUGUAUGGCCCAACUCGAAAUUCAGUCUAAUUGGGCCGCAGUUGUGGUUGUAAACCCAAUUCUGUCACAAAUUAUUUAGAAAAUAAAAUGGAUUUGUGAGAUAUACAAAUGAUUUGCCUCAGAGGUAGUGACAAUUAAAAUAUCAACAUUCUCAUUCUGGUAAUAUGUUUAAUAGAAAGAUGCAUCAUUGGCAAACCAUCUUAAACAAAAUCAGCCUAUAUCUGAAGAAACGGAAUAAGGAAAACAAAUGAAUUAGGCCUCAGCUACGAUGAUUCAUAAAAACAAUCAAAGUUCAAAAACUCAUUAUACAAUGUUAUGCAUCAUUGGCCAACCCAAACAAAUGAAAAUAAAACAAUGAAUGUUUAUGCAUCAGAGAGAUUCCCAACGACAAAUCAUCAUAUCCUAAUGGAAUGCUGAUGUCCCUGUCUGUUCAUCAUCACUUGCAGAAGACAUUUAACACAUAUAUUUGCAACAACCAAAUAAAGAUAAAGAGCAAAUUAUCUCACUCAUUGAUGAAUAUGAUCACGCAUUCACAACCAUCGAAUUUGACACAAAAUAUGCAGAGAAUUUUGAGCAUCAGAGAGAUUCCCAUUAGACUAAGUCAUCUUUUCUCCAAAAGGAGUUCUGAUGUCCCUGUCUUUUUAUCAUCACUUGCUUCAAACUUCAUGGCCAUUCAAACAGAUUCCGGAAAAAAGAAGGUAACUUUAUUAUUUAAAUUGAAAAAUAUAAAUGCCUCAAAGCCUCAGAGGUACAUGUUUUUUCAUAAUGAGGAAUUCACUCAAAGUAUAUUUAACACCAUCACUGGCGCGGGCAUCCCGAAUUGAAUUAAAAUGAACAAAGAAAAUUACAACUAAUAUCGAAAAAAUGCAUCAGAGAUUCUGAUUUCCGUGUAAAAGUAUCAUCUUUCUCCAAUCCGGAGUAAGAAAAAUUUUCAAUAUCAUCACUUGCACAAAAAUUUAUCUGAAAACGCAAUAUAUGGCACUUACUAUAGUGCACUUCUAGAUAUAUGAAUCGAUCCACAGCAAUAAGAUUUGGGAAACUAUAGUGUCUAUUUUUUUUUGGAUGAAUGAUCGGCUAUAUUUUGAGCGAUUUAUAGCUGUGAAGGCUGGUGUAGUGGCGCCGCAUCUAAGGUUUUCUAGGGUUUCAGGGGGUGGCACUUGGGCUGGGAUAUGUAGUUUUGGGCUAGGGUGGAUAUGUAGUUUUGGGCUAAAGAUUUAAUUGGAUUGAAGAAGCUCUCAAAAACCAAAAAAAUUGGAUUGAAGAAAGCAUAUAAUAGUAUGUUUAAUUCCAUUUUACCGUCAAUUUGGUUAGGUUUGAUUAAAUAAGUUAUAGAAAUAUUAAUGGAUUGGGCCGAUUUGGCAUGAGAAACGGUUAGGCAAAUCCGCUAAUGCAAAGAAUCCAAAGUAUUCAGUUUGUUGCAAUGACUUGUUUAAUUCCAUUUUACCGUCAAUUUGGUCAGUUUAUGGCUAUGAUAAUGCAAACAAACCCACGAGGUCUAGUUGAAGAUUUAGGUGAACAAGCGGCGCAAGAGAUGAGCAAUUGGUUAGUUCUUGUUAUUCCAGAAGAUUUUUCAAUGAACCUUUUUG